GGAGGCAGCAGUAGGGAAUCUUCCACAAUGGACGAAAGUCUGAUGGAGCAACGCCGCGUGAGUGAAGAAGGGUUUCGGCUCGUAAAACUCUGUUGUUAAAGAAGAACAUAUCUGAGAGUAACUGUUCAGGUAUUGACGGUAUUUAACCAGAAAGCCACGGCUAACUACGUGCCAGCAGCCGCGGUAAUACGUAGGUGGCAAGCGUUGUCCGGAUUUAUUGGGCGUAAAGCGAGCGCAGGCGGUUUUUUAAGUCUGAUGUGAAAGCCUUCGGCUCAACCGAAGAAGUGCAUCGGAAACUGGGAAACUUGAGUGCAGAAGAGGACAGUGGAACUCCAUGUGUAGCGGUGAAAUGCGUAGAUAUAUGGAAGAACACCAGUGGCGAAGGCGGCUGUCUGGUCUGUAACUGACGCUGAGGCUCGAAAGUAUGGGUAGCAAACAGGAUUAGAUACCCUGGUAGUCCAUACCGUAAACGAUGAAUGCUAAGUGUUGGAGGGUUCCGCCCUUCAGUGCUGCAGCUAACGCAUUAAGCAUUCCGCCUGGGGAGUACGGCCGCAAGCUGAAACUCAAAGGAUUGACGGGGGCCGCACAAGCGGGGAGCAUGUGGUUAAUU
rnacentral:rRNA from 2 species